UCUUGUGACUUUCCGCUCCGUGCAGAGUAGAACACCAGACAACAUGAUUGAACAAAGGAGGAAUGUUAAAAUGAUAUCGGACGGUAACUUUUGAAAAUGAGCUAAGCAGACUACUGCUGUAUUAUUAUUUGUAUGUUGGCGGAAGUCCUAUUUUUCAGUCGAACGGAAGUGAAGGUGGAUUUCACAUGUUCUCUAUUCUCCAUUUUGUCUUGUGACUUUAGGCAGAGAGUCACAUGUU